rnacentral:lncRNA from 1 species
AGUUUUUCUUUCUUAAGUUGGAGUGUAUUGAUGCGAAGUAUUAGAAUCAGCCCCCAAGUACGACAUUUAAUUGAUUAAACCGAAUGGUUUGCUUACAAACUUGUAGCAUUUCUAAAUUAUUUACAUAUUGUGCAAAAGAAACUCAAAGCUACACAUCAGUUUGUUAUUUCAAUUAUUAGAAUAGAAUGUCUUUGUUUCUCGCAACAGAAACUUCGUCGAUUCAUUAUAUCACAUCUCUUCUAAGCACCGGUAGUUGCCAUUGCUCCAAGAUGAAAAUGUUGAGGUAAACAUUGUGACUCAUUGCAACCUUCAUCUUCCUCUGUGUCCCAAAGGAAACUUGCAUAUGCUGCUUUUACAUGGCAGAUAUCAUUCAUGAAAACACACACUUGUAAAACAAGGAAUGAAACCAAUAUCUAAAACAGUUGACCAAUAUAAUUUAUCAUUCCUUUCAUCGAUCUAACUUGGUAAAGCUACUCCCUGAAGGAUGCUAGGCACUGAUCGUUGUAGCGAGGAAGACCACUUCGUGCCCCUAGAGCUCUGCACUUAGCAGCUGCCUGCAAUUAACAUAGCAAAACAUAAGCUUCUUACACACAAAGUAAUCCAAUUUUUUUAGGUAGCACUCGAGUGCAGGACUAUUUACCACAUUAGCAGCAAAGCAUAGCAUUUUCUCUGUUGCGAAGUUGGCGCAGAUAGCUGAAAGCAAUCAAGGACAUUGUUUAUAAACAAUAAAGCAACGGCCAUUCAUGGUUCACAAUAAUAAGAUAUAGAAGAAAGUUGGCACAUUACCGUAGAGAACAGCUCCGGCGAAUGCAUCACCAGCACCAGUGGUAUCAAUAAGCUCGUAUGGUGGUAUGUUUUCAGCUGUUCCGAUAUAUAACUUACCACAAAUUGUUCCUAUACCAUCUGCUCGCAAAUUUGUCACCGACUGGAGGUAAAGAAAAGAGAAUAUAAUACAAGUGUACCGGAAAUGCAAAUCAGCUACAAUCCACUUUAUAAGUUCAAAAAUACAAGAAUAUAUGACUAAUAUUUUUAUUGCAAUCGUAUUUUAUAGUAGAUUAUGUGCAAAACAUGAUUUCAUUUUUGUAAAAGUGAAGCUGUCAAAAAAAGUUUGAAAGUUUCAUUAAGAUUACCGAUGAUAUGCAGGUUGGAAUGUUAAUGCUCGCAUUCUUUUUUAUUUCCAGAGAUUCCAGUAAUUGGUCAACAUCCAUUUCUUCUUCUGUGGAUGGAACCUCUGCCAGAAAAGCAAAAUAAGUGCAAAGAACACUGUUUAGUGUAUACAUUAAGAGAAAAUACAACAUAAAAUUAUUACUCGACGCAAAACUCUAAUUUCCAAAAAGUCCAACAAAGGAAUAGGAGUAUGUACUAACCAUUAGCAGUUCUCUCAAGCAUUAUACAACCAUCUUUUCCCAAAGUUACAAUCACAAAUUUGACUUUUGGCAACCUUAGAAGCAUAGAAACAAGUGCUUUUGGAACAGUUGCUGCCUCUGUCCAUACCUAUCAACAAAAAUAGGUGCAACAAAGCAAAUGACAAAUAUUUAUUUGAAUUUAUAAAAAAUUUAGCAAGCAAAAAAGGACGAUGGAUGUAUGAUUGGGGUCAGAAAAGUAGUAUAUCUUCACAGUCACAAAAAGAUAAUAUAAUUGAUGAAAAUAAAGCUUAGUAUACUUCACAAAAAGUAGUAUACUUCUGUUACAAUAUAUCACUUCUAAUGAAAACGAUGAACUUGCCUGCGGAAACUGUGCAGCGCAUACAACAUAAUCAACUACUUUGAUGAGAUCAUCCAACCCUUCUCUUGGCCUUUCUGCAUCCAUUAAGAUAGGUAUAUUCUUCUUAACCGCCUGUACUGAAAAGUAUAAAUUUUGUUUAAUUUCUUAUCAGAGUAAGCUCUACUGUCAUGAAAAAACAUGAAUAUCACGAAGUUUCAGAUAGAAAACAAAAGGUGAAAUCAUUUGCUGAUAAACAUCGAGCAAAUUUAUGCAAAUAAUAACCUCGUGCGCAACAACUAGAGCAGUUUCAUGCAAUCUCCCAUCUAAAUAAGCAAUUUUCGUUCCAUUCAACGCAGAUAACAAACUUGAUUCGGUAAGAUCAGCUGGUUUCAUAGGAGGAAAUCCUGGUGUAUGUAAACAAGUACGCGACUUGCUGAAACAUUACAUUAAAAACUAGUCAAGUUACAAAUAUAUUUUCAAUAGCCGCAUUAACAUCAAAUCCUUGAAGAUCUUAAUAUAAAACAAAUCAUGAUAGUACUUAGUUUUUAAGAUUAAAAGAAGGACCAAACCAAUGACCAUUACGUUUGGUUGUCAACAAUGAUAUAGGUAAAUGGUGAAGUGCCUUCCUUAGAUACCUGCAAAUAAGAAGAAGCUCACUAAAUAGCAACGAUGAAUACCACAUGCAUUAGAAAUAUUUGGAAGAAACAAAUAUAAGUAGCUAAAGAGUAAACUCUGAUCAUUGGGUUAUAUAUAUUGCUAUGUAGUAAAAGGUUUCUAUUGCAAACUUAAAUUCAGUCUCGGAUGGUGACACUAAAAAUGCCGUGUAUUUCAAAAACCAAAACAAUCAUUAAGAUCCCAAAUCAUAAUAUUGUGAGAAAAUUACCACUAUAAAGGAGGUAUCCACGCCAUCAGCCUGUAGUUCAUCUAAUAUUCUCCUUCCUUGAGUGUCGUCUGCUAUCUAAUGAGUAUCAAACAGGUUUAUGUGAAGGCAUAACACAAACACAAAAGUUAAUAAAAUUUGUCAUAUCUCACAAGAUUUGUGAAGAGAAUAGAGAAGCAUAGAGUGUGUGAUGGUNNNNNNNNNNNNNNNNNNNNNNNNNNNNNNNNNNNNNNNNAAGAUUUGUGAAGAGAAUAGAGAGGUAUAGAGUGUGUGAUGGUUAAAAACCUUGGAGAUGAUCCUUGGCUUGAGGCCCAAGCGAGCCGCGCAGGUUAAGGCAUUGCCUGUGUUACCACCUCCUUGAGUCUACAGAAAAAAUGUUAGAUUGAACUUACAGGAAUCUCUAAAGAAAUGUGAUUUUUAGAUUACAUAGAAAAAACUAUUUAUAAUUAUUUUUUAUAAAAAAAUAUCAUCCAAACCAACCACACUCUUUAAAAUCAUAUUAUUUUCCAGAAGCUACUAAAAGUAGUUUUUCAAAAUAAUUAGAUUUCAGAUUUGCUUCAAAUUAUGAUUAUAUUUAAAAGAGGAAACAAACACAAUAAAAAAAGUUGAAUCACUCUCAAGAUCCCUAUUUGGAGAUUUUUAAACAGGUUUAUGAAGUAAAAAAUUGUAAUUAGGCCCCUAAACUUGUUAAUAAUUAUAUUUAGGUCCCUAAAUUUUAAAAGUAAAUUAAUUGAAUCAACAAAGUUUGAAAUAAUUUUGUAUUUUUUUAGUACAAUAAUUUUGUAUUUAGUUAUUGUGAACUUUCAAUAAUUUGCAAUGAAAUACCUAAAUUCAAGAUGUAAUUAAAAAUUAUUUACAAGUUUAAGUGCUUCUGAUGGAAAAAGAAAAGAAGAAAGGAAUUAAGUUACCUUGAAGGAAGUGCUUCUGAUUUUUUGAUCUGGCUGAGGAAAAGCAGCAACAGUGGCCAACAAAUCCAAUCCCACAGCUCCACACCCCACCUGCAUAAACACAAAAAAGAUUCAAUUUUUAAGCUUCAAAAAUGAAAAGGAAAUGAUUGAAUCAAAGAGUGAACUUACCACAAUUGAAUUUUCAGGAAGGAAAUCACCAGACAUAGUGCUCACUCAAACUCAGUCAAACACAAAAGAGGGUGAAAUUAGUAGCUUAAGUUUUUGUUUAAAAUUACAAAUAUGUCCUUAUGUUUAUGCUUAUCAGUUAUCACACAUACAUUAUGCUGACAAUGUGAAUAUUUUGUUUGUCUUGUUAUAGUCAUUCUGUUUGUCUUUUAUUGUUGUUGAAUAAUCUUGCUUUUCUGUGAUGUUUCAUUUUUAUAAUCUUGUUAUGUUAUUUAUUAUCAUUGUUAAAUAAAAUGAUAAAAACUGCAAAAUUGGUUGGAAACAAGUGUUGAACUUAAAGAGAUGUACCACAAAAAAAAUCCAGUUUUCCUCUUGAAAUUGUUAAAGAAACACAUCCUCACUUAUUCUAUGUGCUUUUAUCGUUUUUUUAUUUUAAUUUUAUAUACAAAAUCGAAAAAUAAAAUAAUUGAAAAAAUUGUUAAAUUUGACCGCGAUGGGACUCAAAUCCACAAUCUGUGCUUUUAUCUUUGUAGUGAUGAAUGAUGAUGAGGUUAGUGUCAUCGAUGGCGGAUUUCCUGCCAUAAAAUGUCAUGNNNNNNNNNNNNNNNNNNNNNNNNNNNNNNNNNNNNNNNNNNNNNNNNNNNNNNNNNAUCCUUCCACGGCGGGUGUCAAAAAGGAAACAUAUGGCCGAUAUUUGACAACACCGGAUGAAAUGGAUGAAACAUUUGUCCUUGUGCUAUUUACUCUUUUAACUCGAGUUUGCUUUCUGGCUAAAACAAUCAUUAAUCAUGUUUUACUUAUUGUUAGAUCGAAUUGAAUUCUAGAUUAUCAAGAGGGUCAAGACAAAAUAAUGUCAUUUCCUCUUUGUAAUCUCAUUUUUUCUUUCUUAACUUGGAGCGUAUUGAUGCAAAGUAUUAGAAUCAAUCAGUCCCCAAAUACGACAUUUAAUUGAUUAAACCGAAUGGUUUGCUUACAAACUUGUAGCAUUUCUAAAUUAUUUACAUAUUGUGCAAAAGAAACUCAAAGCUACCGGUAGAAUAGAAUGUCUUUGUUUCUGUUGAUUCGUCGAUUCAUCAUAUCACAUCUCUUCUAAGCACCGGUAGUUGCCAUAGCUCCAAGAUGAAAAUGUUGAGGUAAACAUUGUGACUCAUUGCAACCUUCAUCUUCUUCUGUGUCCCAAAGGAAACUUGCAUAUGCUGCUUGUACAU